rnacentral:rRNA from 1 species
UACGUAGGGGGCGAGCGUUGUCCGGAGUUACUGGGCGUAAAGAGCGCGCAGGCGGUCAGAUAAGUCGAAUGUGAAAGCCCCCGGCUCAACUGGGGAGGGUCAUUCGAUACUGUUCGACUCGAAGGCAGGAGAGGGAAGUGGAAUUCCCGGUGUAGUGGUGAAAUGCGUAGAUAUCGGGAGGAACACCAGUGGCGAAGGCGACUUCCUGGCCUGUUCUUGACGCUGAGGCGCGAAAGCUAGGGGAGCAAACGGG